rnacentral:rRNA from 1 species
ACACGACCGUACCGCAAACCGACACUGGUGCGCGAGAUGAGUAUUCUAAGGCGCUUGAGAGAACUCAGGAGAAGGAACUCGGCAAAUUGACACCGUAACUUCGGAAGAAGGUGUGCCUUUAGUAGGUGAACCAUUUACUUGGGGAGCCCAAUGAGGCUGCAAAAAAUCGGUGGCUGCAACUGUUUAUUAAAAACACAGCACUCUGCUAAGACGAAAGUCGACGUAUAGGGUGUGACGCCUGCCCGGUGCUGGAAGAUUAAAUGAUGGGGUGCAAGCUCUUGAUUGAAGUCCCAGUAAACGGCGGCCGUAUCUAUAACGGUCCUAAGGUAGCGAAAUUCCUUGUCGGGUAAGUUCCGACCUGCACGAAUGGCGUAAUGAUGGCCACACUGUCUCCUCCUGAGACUCAGCGAAGUUGAAAUGUUUGUGAUGAUGCAAUCUCCCCGCGGAAAGACGGAAAGACCCCAUGAACCUUUACUGUAGCUUUGUAUUGGACUUUGAACAGAUCUGUGUAGGAUAGGUGGGAGGCUUUGAAGUGUGGUCGCUAGAUCGCAUGGAGCCAACGUUGAAAUACCACCCUGGUGUGUUUGAGGUUCUAACCUAGGUCCAUUAUCUGGAUCGGGGACAGUGCAUGGUAGGCAGUUUGACUGGGGCGGUCUCCUCCCAAAGUGUAACGGAGGAGUUCGAAGGUACGCUAGGUACGGUCGGACAUCGUGCUAAUAGUGCAAUGGCAUAAGCGUGCUUAACUGCGAGACUGACAAGUCGAGCAGAUGCGAAAGCAGGACAUAGUGAUCCGGUGGUUCUGUAUGGAAGGGCCAUCGCUCAACGGAUAAAAGUUACUCUCUGGAUAACAGCUGAUACCGCCCAAGAGUUCAUAUCGACGGCGGUGUUUGGCACCUCGAUGUCGGCUCAUCUCAUCCUGGGGCUGUAGCCGGUCCCAAGGGUAUGGCUGUUCGCCAUUUAAAGAGGUACGUGAGCUGGGUUUAAAACGUCGUGAGACAGUUUGGUCCCUAUCUUCCGUGGGCGCUGCAGAUUUGAGGAAGCCUGCUCCUAGUACGAGAGGACCGGAGUGGACGAACCUCUGGUGUAUCGGUUGUCACGCCAGUGGCAUUGCCGAGUAGCUAAGUUCGGAAGAGAUAACCGCUGAAAGCAUCUAAGCGGGAAACUCGUUUCAAGAUUAGAUCUGCCGGGGCCUUGAGCCCCCUAAAGAGUCGUUCAAGACCAGGACGUUUUAGGUCAGGUGUGGAAGC